rnacentral:tRNA from 1 species
AGCCCUGAGGUGUUCCCACAUAUUAGAUUGCAAAUCUUAAGUCGCAGAGUAGAAUCUGCCGGGGCUU